GCGCCGUUAGCUCAGUCUGGUAGAGCAGGUGGCUCUUAACCACUUGGCCGGGGGUUCAAAUCCCUCACGGCGCACCA
rnacentral:tRNA from 1 species